rnacentral:lncRNA from 1 species
CGGCGGCUCCCGCCCCUGCCCACACUGCCCCGCGCCUCCACUCCUGCGCUCUCCUCCCGCGGACCGCAGAGAAGCACGGACACUUAUUAGUCACCUACUGAAUGCCGCAGUCGGUGCCUUACCGGAUCACAUUUCCCUUCUCCCCACACUCUCGGACCUACCUGUUCUGCUGAUCAUCUGCCUCCUCUUCCAAAAGAUCAGCCAGACCUCUGGGCCCGCGGCAGCCGCAAGAGGGAAGCACAAGGCACUGGGCGCCCCGCCAGGAAACAGAUCAUUCACAUCUCCAGGGCUGGGCUGCCCGGGCCAGCAGCCAGGACUCACGGCAACCAGGUGGGAAACCGAGGCAGGGACCAUCUGGAGGGCUUCAACAAUGCCUGCCACUGGAGCAAAGCACAAGGACCCUGGAGAGCUGGGAGCUCAGGGCUUCCCAAGGAAGCUGGGUCCCAUCCCCAUCCUCGGUUUCCUCAUCUGCCCGUGGGAAGAAUUCCUUAUGCACAGCUGGCCGCCGGGGUGCCCACCCUGUAAUCCCAGUGACUCAGGAGGCUGAGGCAGGAGGAUCACGCUUGGAGGCCAGCCUCAGAAAACUAGCCAGACCCUGCCUCAGAAUAAAAAUAAAAAGGGCUGGGGAUGUAGCUCAGUGGUAGAGGACCCUUGGGUUCCAUCCCCAGAACUGAAAAAAAAAAAAAAAGAGUAAAGGAAGAAGCCACCUUGCGGUCCGGAGUGGUGGUCUCACUAAGCUUUU